GAUUAUACUUUAUUGAUUUGCAUAUUGAUUGAUUGAUUGAAAUAUUGUUUGAAUUAUUGAUUGAUUGAUUUUAUUGAUUGAUUCAUCUUGAUUGAUUGAUUGUUUGGUUCAUUGAAGAUCUAACAUCAUAACUACCCAAAAGUCGAUGUUGAUCAUUUAACUUACUCUAUUGCUAUAUUUGCAAUAUUUUGCAUACAUUUGAAUAGUUUAUGAUGUACUGAUAUAUUAAAAUAAAGCCAUGACAUAGACUGC
rnacentral:sRNA from 1 species